rnacentral:snoRNA from 1 species
UUUAGUGAUGAUAAAAACCAUACUAUCGACUAGCCAAAGGCAAUGUUGUCGUUGUUAACCAUCUUUCGGGACUGAUA